rnacentral:lncRNA from 1 species
GGGGAAAAAAGACAGAGAAUUGGGUUUUUUUUUCUUCAUAGGGUUUUGGGAAGACUGAGGCAAUCGUUGCUGAAGUCAGUGUUGUAAUGGUGAAUCGGGAUUUUUAAUGAAGUGGGUUUGAUUACUCUUGAUUAUUUUGUGAAAUCGAGUUACGUCUGUGAUGAAGAGUUAAAAGGGUGUAUAUAGGAUUGAGUAUGCGGAGUGAAUGAAAUUUAUUGGAUUAAUCUAACAAGACAGUCAGUGGAUACAAGAUCGUGAGUAUAAAGCGGUAUCGAAGAUUAGCAGUUUGGG